UGUUGCUUUAGACAUGUCCUCCUUCAUUCUCAUUCUUUUUUAUAAAGUUUGAGUUUUAUCCAUUUGAAUUUGAUGCACAAAUGGACUUCUGAUGAAUAUGAAAAGAGUUUGGUAAGGGUACAGCGAGGGGCAGACCGACGAGAGGCAGAAAGGAUGCGUGAAGGCCAUAUGGACGCGUCUGGUUUUCUUUAUGCUUCCGCCGAUAUAUUUUGUUAGAAUAUUUGGUUUUGUGAUUUUGAGUUUGAUGACUUGAGUAUUGUAUUUGAAACUCUCGUGACUGUGAUUUAAACUAGGACCCGAAACUGCUUUUGUAAUAUUUCUAACGUUUUUAAUGAAU